rnacentral:lncRNA from 1 species
UUUGUAGGCGGGGUUUGAUAAGUGGAGAUUCCGGUGGUGGAAGCUUUGAAGAUCGACAGUGACAAAGGCGGUUAGGGUUCCGGCCACGAAACCGACUUUCUGGGGUUUAAUCGUUGAUGUUCAUCAUUCGGUAACAACAUUGGUUCAUGCAUAUUUUAUAAAAUUCCAUUAAACUUGCAAACCCUAAUUCUGUUCUAUUUUACUCUGCCCAGAUUUGCUCUUUGCUUUGGAGAUACUGUUCAACAAAUUAUUCAUUAUAGAAGCAUGUCCAGAUCUGAUAGAUGGCGAUUUCAUCAAUGUGCGAGCGAAGGAGAUGCUUCAACUCUGUUUCAUAACGACAGAGAGUUCGGCGAUCAGAGAUAAUGUUAUGAUGGGAACAUCAUCUGAGGUAUAGUUAUAAAAUAUACACAUGAACUGAAAGGGGGUGUCUGGAUUUGUGUUAUGGAAGUGAUUAUCUAUAUUUCAGCAAGCAUAUUCUGACAAUUAGAUAUAAGCAUAUGGGUUGUGGGUAGUGUACAUAAUUAGUAAAUAGUAAUUUAUGAUAAAACUUAACAGUGAGCCAUUUUGAACCGUUAUCGUUUCUCCCGAUUUGCUGCCCCAAACACAGAAUUAUCUGUCUAAACAGGCUAGCGAGUCAACCCGUUUAAAUUAUCU